rnacentral:lncRNA from 1 species
AAAGACUAGAUGGUGGAAUCUAAAAGGAGAAAAACAAGUCAUUUUCAAAGAGCAAGUAAUCACCCAGUGUGUGUGGGAUAGAGAGGGGGAAGCUAGCCAAAUGUGGGAUUCCAUGGCUAGCUGUAUCCGAAAAGUAGCAAAAGAGGUAUUAGGAGAGUCCAAGGGCUUUGCUCCACACCAAAAGGAAUUUUGGUGGUGGAAUGAGGAGGUACAAACAAAGGUGAAGGCUAAGAAGGAAUGUUGUAAAGCCUUAUACAAGGAUAGGACUGAUGAAAAUGGUGAAAGGUAUAGAAGAGCGAAGCAAGAGGCGAAGAAAGCUGUGAGAGAAGCUAAGUUAGCAGCUUACGACGAUAUGUAUAAGCGACUAGAUACCAAAGAAGGAGAGUUGGAUAUCUAUAAACUAGCUAGAGCAAGGGAAAAGAAGACAAGGGACCUAAACCAAGUGAGGUGCAUCAAGGAUGAGGAUGGAAAGGUUCUUGCUCAGAGAACGCGGUCAAAGACAGAUGGAGAGGUUUUUUUCAUAAUCUUUUCAAUGAAGGACAUGAAAGGAGUACUCCUUUAGGGGAGUUGAAUAACUCAGAAGAGUGUAGAAACUACUCCUUUUAUCGUCGAAUCAGGAAGGAAGAAGUGGUUGUAGCUUUGAAGAAGAUGAAGCAUAGAAAAACAGUGGGCCCAGACGAUAUACCGAUUGAAGUGUGGAAAGCCUUGGGAGAGACAGGUAUAGCAUGGCUCACUGACCUUUUCAAUAGGAUUUUGAAAACGAAGAAGAUGCCAAACGAGUGGCGAAAGAGCACCUUGGUGCCUAUUUACAAGAAUAAGGGCGACGUACAAAAUUGCAUGAACUAUAGGGGUAUUAAGCUAAUGAGUCAUACAAUGAAGCUCUGGGAGAGAGUCAUUGAGCAUAGAUUGAGGCAAGAGACACGGGUUUCGGACAACCAAUUCGGGUUCAUGCCAGGGCGCUCAACCAUGGAGGCAAUCUAUCUUUUACGAAGAUGGAUGGAAAGAUAUAGAGAUGGGAAAAAGGAUUUACACAUGGUCUUUAUAGAUUUGGAAAAAGCGUAUGAUAGGGUCCCAAGAGACAUCUUUGGAGGAUUUUAGAGAAGAAAGGAGUACGAGUAGCAUAUAUCCAAGCUAUAAAGGAUAUGUAUGAAGGAGCAAAGACUGCCGUAAGAACUCAUGAAGGACAAACCGAAAGCUUCCCCAUAACUAUAGGAUUACAUCAAGGCUCAUCCUUAAGUCCUUACCUUUUUACGUUGGUAAUGGAUGAGUUAACAGGACAUAUUCAAGAUGAUAUUCCUUGGUGUAUGCUUUUCGCAGACGAUAUAGUGUUGAUAGAUGAAACUCAGGAAUGGGUAAAUGCGAAGCUUAACCUUUGGAGAGAAGUGUUGGAAUCUAAAGGUCUUCGCCUAAGCCGAUCAAAGACAGAAUAUAUGGAGUGCAAGUUCAGUGCAAAUGGAGGCCAAAAUAAGUUAGGGGUGAGGAUCGGAGAUCAGGAAAUACCAAAAAGUGACCGUUUUCGCUACCUAGGAUCUAUCUUGCAAAAGAACGGAGAAUUAGAUGGAGAUCUCAACCAUAGAAUACAAGCUGGAUGGAUGAAGUAGAAGAGUGCAUCCGGCGUGUUGUGUGAUCGUCGUAUGCCACUGAAGCUUAAGGGAAAAUUUUAUAGGACGGCAAUAAGGCCGGCGAUGCUGUAUAGCACAGAAUGUUGGGCGGUAAAGCACCAACACGUACACAAAAUGGGUGUAGCGGAGAUGAGGAUGCUUCGUUGGAUGUGUGGGCACACGAGAAAGGAUAAGAUUAGGAAUGAGGAUAUCCGAGGUAAAGUAGGAGUAGCCGAAAUUGAAGGAAAACUGAGAGAAAAUCGGUUACGGUGGUUUGGACAUGUGCAAAGAAGGCCUACUGACGCUCCGGUUAGAAGAUGCGACUACGGGACAGAGGUUCAGGGCCGAAGGGGUAGAGGAAGACCUAAGAAAACUUUUGAAGAGACUCUAAGAAAAGACUUAGAGUACUUGGAUCUAACGGAGGACAUGACACAAGGAUCGAGCACAAUGGCGUUCUAAGAUUCAUAUAGCCGACCCGACUCAGUGACUUGGAUUUUUCAAGUCUCCAAUCGAGAAGUUUUCCUCACUCGGGAAAUUAAGGGAACACUAGCUCAACCUACAUGCUCCACUCACAAAGCUUUAACAUACAAGCUUCAACAAAAGAAAAAAAUUCAAAGAACUUAGUGAAGAAGGCUUUGGAUGUAUUUAACACAAUACGUUGAAAUGAAACAAAGCUUAUUUAUUGAUAUCUCUAAGAAGUUACAAAUAUGUACAUAUACACGAGUCAAAAUAAACAAACAAGAGGGAGCCUUUCACAAAGGUUGCUUAGGAGAAGUCUCAGCAGUCGGUAGAGCCCCAGAAAGAGAAGGCACCGGAGAGGGAUCAUUCGGAGCCUCAGUACUGGACAGCACCCUAGAAGGAUGAGGCAUCGGAGGUUGAUCAUUUGGAGCUUCAUUACGCGGUACAGCCCCAGAAGACGAAGGCAAUAAAUGCCUUUGGAACAAACCCACAAACCUCUGAUGAUCAAUGUAAAAUCUGACCAUCAGAUUCCUUCAUCUGGUCAAGCUUCCUCUUCAUGUUUGUAGCAUAGUCAUGAGCGAGCCGGUGCAACUGUUUAUUCUCAUGCUUGAGCCCUCUAAUCUCCUGUUUGAGACUCAUCACUUCAGCCGCCAAUGAUUCAACUUGGCGGGUUCGAGCAAAUAGGCGUUGAACCAUAUUAGACACAGAACCUGCACACUGAACACUGAGAGCCAGAGAAUCCUUAACAGCCAACUCAUCAGACCGUUUGGAAAGUAGCCUGUUAUCUUUGGGAGUGAGAAGGUUCCUGGCCACCACCGCAGCGGUCAUAUCAUUCUUCAUCACGGAAUCCCCAACGGUAAGAGGACCAGUAGGGGAUAAGAAAGAUGGGCGCCAUAUGUUGUCUGGAGAAGGCGUGGCUGCCUCUUCAACAAGGUUCAAGUCAAAACGACGGUCGGAGGGGCCACACAUUUUCAAAGGUGUUGAAGAGAAAAGAGGUCGGACAAAUCAAGAUCUUAGAAAUGCAAGAAGGGAGCUUCUACUGGUGGAGAUUCAAGUGUGCUUUGGAACUUAAUACCAGCCUCUAUAAAAAUCCGCACUCGAUGGAGCUUCAGAAAUCGAAGAGGCGCCUGCUCAGAAAUCGAAAAGGCGUUUGCUUUCUCAAAAGCUGGGCUGCUAAGAGACCACGAGGCCGAUCUCAGGAAUCGAAGAGGCGUUUGCUUUCUCAAAAGCUGGGCUGCUCAAAGACCACGAAGGUCGAUGGCAGAAAUCGAAGAGGCGCUUGCUUUCUCAAAAGCUGGGCUGCUCAGAGACCACGAGGGCCGAUCUCAGAAAUCGAAGAGGCACCUGCUUUUUCAGCCUUGUCAGCACCUGUCACAUGCACACUCAACUUUACGGAAAUUAUGGGCAUUCUGUCGAAGAUUUCUAGUGAAGUAGAAAGCACGUGAAUGUUACUGUUUAAUCAUUCACUUUCCACACGCAACAUCAACUCACGGGUACCACAGAUAACUUUGCCAAAAAUCUCUGACAAAGUUAGACACGUGAAGCUUGCAGCUCCCAUUACAUCGCUAUGACCAAGAAGGGUAAAAGAAUAGCAAAGAAACAGCACUAACAAAGUUUAGACACAUAAAUUUUGAAGGUCUAGCUACCAUAUUAUUACCCACAAGGGUAAAGGAACAGGACCAUUGCUGGAUAAUUGGAAAGUCCCUGUGAGUCAACCUCUGUGCUCCGUGGCAAGGUAGACUAGCAAACAGGCCUAACCUUUACUCACAUUCGAGAAUACACUCCCAACAAGAUUGCUUGCUUCAAGAUCGAAGAGGCACCGUCCUCCGAAUCUCGAGAGCCAGACUCCCAACAUGAUUACUUUCUCAAAAAACAACGAGACACUGCUAUCCGAAUCUUGAGAGCCAGACUCCUAGCAGGAUUGCUUUCUCAAAAAUCGAAGAGGCACCGUUCUCUGAAUCUCGAGAGACAGAUCCUCAACAGGAUUGCUUGUUCGAAAAUCGAAGAGGCACCGCUUUCUCAACUUCGAGAGCCCCUUAAAUAAAGCUUGUCUGUAAUCCUCACACCGUUUUCCCAACUUCGAGAGCCAGAUCUCCUUGGAUAAAGCUUGUCUGUAAUCUUCACACAUAACAUCAGCUUUCCAGAUACCACAUACCACUUUUUCAAAGUGCGCUGACAGAGUUAAAACAUGUGAAGCUGGCAGCUCCCACUACCGUGCUAUGACCAAACAGGGUAAAAGAAUAAUAUUACUCCUUGUUAGGGAGACUCCUAUAUAUGUCGACCUCCAUCCUCAACGGACAGGCAGACUUGCAAAAAUGCUCAACCCUUCCUCAUAUCUGAGAGGGCACUCCCAACGAAGCCUCUCGAAAUACUCAGCUUUCUUUCCCCCCGAGAAUACCUCUGCAAACAAGCUACACUAGAGCAAGAAUAUCUCAUAUCAUCAGGGUUAAAAGCAAGAGUAUCCCAUAUCAUGCUUUUUCCCUGUCUUUUCCUUUGGCCUUGUUCUUACCUGCAAGACAAGGAGAAAGAGAGCAAUCAGUCAGCAUUUGGAAUCAAGCUUCCAGUCCGGAACUGACUGCCUGGAACCCCAUUGCUCUCGAGUACUCAUUUUCAACAUCUUAUGCUUCCCGAGAAGAUACCACAUCUGCCUGAGGAACAAAUAGGGCAAGUGAGAAGGAUACAAGGAAGCAUGUGGAGACAAGCGCAACAGAACACGUGCCCAUACAUCCACUACUUUGUCAACAGCAAAAGUAUCCCAUAUCAGCAGGGUCGAACGUACUCUAGAUUUGAUGGACUUGUUUUGACCCUCAAAUUCUUCAGUCGGCCUUAUACUCUGACGGAAACAAGAAAACCCUCCAGCCCAGUUCAAGAAUAAGCCUGUGGAAAGUUACUUCUUCAAAAGCAAAAGUAUCUCAUAUCACAUUUUCUCCUUUUCUUCUCUAUAUCCUUCAUGCUACCUGCAAGAUAAGGAGAAGGAUAACAAUCAGCCGGAACUCGAAAUCAAACUUUUGAUCUGGGACUGAUUGCUUGGAGCUCUGAUUGCUUACCUUGUCUGUCACCUCUUUCAGCAGAUCCCCUAGCUCGGCGACUUGGGGGACUCCUACUACAUGGUUUUUAUCGCGCUUGACCAAGCCUGAAACUACAAGUAAGCGUCAGGUGAAAUUGAUACAUUACCUUGUGCAUCUCCACCAGUUAAAGAUAUCACCCCUGGAGGGAGGAAGAGUACUCCCAAAGAAGAUGCCACAUCUACCUAUGAGACAGAUAAGGCAAGUGAAGACGAUACCACACUUCGGUACUUAAAAGUUUCGUGAUUACGAGAUCAUUCUUCCACAAUAUUUCCUAAUGUCAUUUAUACUAAAUCAUUCACUUGUACUCACUAAAGGAGAGCUUGAACCUAUAUACUGUGUAAACCCUUCACAAUAAAUGAGAACUCCUUUACUCCGUGGACGUAGCCAAUCUGGGUGAACCACGUACAUCUUGUGUUUGCUUCCUGUCUCUAUCCAUUUACAUACUUAUCCACACUAAUGACCGGAGCAAUCUAGCGAAGAUCACAAACUUAAUAUUUAAGAUGAUAUUCUUUGGUGUAUGCUUUUCGCAAACGAUAUAGUGUUGAUAGAUGAAACGCAGGAAGGGGUAAACGCGAAGCUUAACCUUUAGAGAGAAGUGUUGGAAUCUAAAGGUCCUCGCCUAAGCCGAUCAAAGACAGAAUAUAUGGAGUACAAGUUCAGUGCAAACGGAGGCCAAAAUGAGUUAGGGGUGAGGAUCGGAGAUCAGGAAAUACCAAAGAGCGACCGUUUUCGCUACCUAGGAUCUAUCUUGCAAAAGAACAGAAAAUUUGAUGGAGAUCUCACCCAUAGAAUACAAGCUGGAUGGAUGAAGUGGAAGAGUGCAUCCGGCGUGUUGUGUGACCGUCGUAGGCCACUGAAGCUCAAGGGAAAAUUUUAUAGGACGACAAUAAGGCUGGCAAUGCUGUAUGGCAUAGAAUGUUGGGCGGUGAAGCAUCAACACGUAGGUGUAGUGGAGAUGAGGAUGCUUCGUUGGAUGUGGGGGCACACGAGAAAGGAUAAGAUUAGGAAUAAGGAUAUCCGAGGUAAAGUAGGAGUAGCAGAAAUUGAAGGAAAGAGGAGAGAAAAUCGGUUACGGUGGUUUGGACAUGUGCAAAGAAGGCCUAAUGACGCUCCGGUUCGAAGAUGUGACCACGGGACAGAGGUUCAGGGCCGAAGGGGUAGAGGAAGACCUAGGAAAACUUUGGAAGAGACCCUAAGAAAAGACUUAGAGUACUUGGAUCUAACGGAGGACAUGACACAAAACCGAUCGCAAUGGCGUUCUAGGAUUCAUAUAGCCGACCCCACUUAGUGGGAAAAAGCUUUGUUGUUAUUGUUGUUGUAUAAAAACAUAUUAAGAGUAUCAUUACUGAAAAAAAGAAAGAAAAUAAUCAAUAAAUUCACUUCAGGUGUAAAUACAUAGAUUCACAUCGCUUUAUUUAUUUGUUUAUUUGUAUAUUCCAAGUUGAUUAAGGUAAUUAAGUAAUCUUUCUUGAUUGCCCAAUAGUGAGGUCCAAUGACAGCUCUCGCCAACUACGGAUUUUGAAUGAACAACAGCACCAAACUCUAUGAAAACUGUUGGGUCGAUGCAGGCAAACUUGUGGAAAGACCCACCUCCGUUAUGCCAUUGUUGGAAUUCUGGAUGAACGGUCGGAGCAUCGCCCUCUCAUCUUGAAAUACAGAGCAGGUGCAGAAAUGGUUAGUGACAAAACAGGUGUAGUCUCAGAGACAUUUUCACAAGCACGUUCAGGGCAUACCAGACGAAACAGACGACACAAGGGAACUCUAUCUAUUUCCAAAGCGCAACGGAAGCAAGCUUUGAACGCAUUGAGGAUGUGGCGAGUAGCCGAAUGCCGCUGCAAGUCUUCUCAGAGCGACUGCCAUUGACUGAGGACCGGAGGUCCGAGGAGUGACUCGGCGAGGAGGGAAAUCCCGUUUGUAUUUGAACCUUCGUAUCCAGAAUCCACCGUGUUUGACCGGAAGGGCUUUUGUAAUGGAGGGCAUCUUCGUCUCCUAAAUUUACGUUGGGCCAACAUACAUAGGUGUUGGGCUUUGGGCUUGAAAGUCCAAGCCAAUAGAUUAUUGAGAACAAGUGCAAGUUGCAUUGGAAAUUUCGAUUUUGAUCAGUUCUGACCAAACUGGUGACGAAAACUUUCAAUUUUGGUGCACCCGAAUGGAAUUUGACAUUCAAAAUUCUGAAAUAAUAUGGAUAGUAACUGGGAUGUACAUCUAAAAACUUUAAUAAUCUCAAUAUAUUUUAUACGAACGUAUUAAAGUUUCAACUUGUGAAUCUCAAUAUACUUUAAUAUGGAUCGUAACUAGGAUGACCAAGUUGAAACGUAAGUUCCCAACUUUUCUGAAUUUUUUAUUGUUUGUUUUUUUUUUAAUUUUUUUGUUUACGACAGAAUUGAAUGAAAAUGAAACUCAUAAUUUCAACUAGAUUUUUUUUUUAAAAUCAGGCAUGCAUACAUGGAGAGUAGGCUAGGCAAUGAAGUUUAAUUCUUGUUGUGUGACCUAUCGGACAUGCUAAUCUCGCAUGUAUAUAUAUAUAAAUAAAUAAACCACAGAAAACAUGUGUGACUAUUAUAUUAUUUGAUGGUUCGUGGAAGUCUCUAUUGUCUAUUAGUUUUGAGUUAUAUCUUUCAACUUGUGGCGUCGCAUUGACUGAAUUAGGGGCAAAACCAUGACCAACUGUGAACAAUUUCCAGGAAAAUACAGCCAGUCGAAGGCUUUGUUUUCUUAGAAUUUUUACUGAUGUGAUGUUAACUAAUUUAAUUAAACAAGUCUUCCAAGAAACUACCUAUCAAUUCACAAAAAUUCAAUGGUGCUCGUCCUCCGAGAUUUUUAACCAUUUUUCGAGCAGGAAGGAGAAGACUUAAGAGCUAUAUAUAAAAUUUCCCUAAUCUUUUUCUAUGAUUAGAGAUCAAAACAUGGUUAAUUUCCCUAGUGCUCCGAAAACAAUCUCUCUUUUUUUGCUUUGUUUUCUCAUCACCCUCCUUUUUGAUCUUGCUUAUGCUGAUCCUGAUCCUCCAUACAAGUUGUGCUCAGAUGUUCGCGGUUAUGUCGAAAAUGGUACGUUUCAGAAAAACCUCCAGAGCCUGCUCAAUUCAUUGCCUUCAAAUGCUUCUGUUUCCAAGCUGUACAAUACUUCCGCCGGAAAUCAACCAGAUAGAGUUUAUGGCCUUUAUAUGUGCCUCAAUUAUUUUACGAAUGAGAUAUGUCACAACUGCAUCAACACCGCGCAUUUAGACAUUGUUAGGAUUUGUCCCAACUCAACAGAAUCAGUUGUGUGGGAGGAAACGUGCCAACUGCGCUACUCCGACGUGAAGUUCUAUGGUGAAUUGAAUGUGGCAGACAACAUUGUGUCCGCUAACAAGAAAAACGUUUCAGACCCAAAAAAGGUCGAGAAUACUGUAAAGGAGAAGCUGAGGGAGUUUGCGAAGCAAGCAGCAUAUGAUGCUUCAGCGAAAAUGUAUGCUACUGGAGAUGUACCAUUUGAAGAUAAAGUGAUAUAUGCUCUUGUGCAGUGCACUAGAGACUUAUCUGGAGAUGACUGUGACAAAUGCCUUCAGCACGCCAUAGAAGACGUUUUGAGAAAGUAUUAUUUCUCCGUUGGCGCGGCUUAUGAGCCGGAGUUGCUAUCUGAGGUACGAGUUGUAUGGCUUCUAUAAUGGUGCAACUGAAGCUUCUAUUUCCAGCUCUCCAAAUAACAACAAAGGGGACGGUGAGUACUUUUAAGGUGUAUGUCUAUUUUGACGCUACAAUGUUAAAAAUUAACUGCAAAUACAUAGUUGUUUCCAAUGAAGGUGUAGGAUGGAGGAUCACGAUCCUUACGGUUGUGUCAGCAUGUCUAGCCAUACUACUUUUGGGUUCCUGUGUCUAUCUUGCAAUAAGAAAAAGAAACAAAAAGGGUAAUAAUAAUGCGUUUGGAAAUGCUUUAAAGCUGAUCAUCACUGUAAUAUAUUUUCUGAAAGCAGCUUUUCUUUCGAUCUGUUCAGGGAGUAGUGAGAUUUUAAGACAACAUGUAUUGUUCCCGGACCGAAGUUUUCAAGGCAGAAACCAGAAAGCUGAGGAGUACCCCUAUAUCAGUUUGGCAUCUAUACAUGCAGCUACGGAUAAAUUUUCUGAUUCAAAUAAGCUCGGAGAAGGUGGUUUUGGGCCUGUUUACAAGGUAUAAAGUAAAAGAAAAUUGUUUCUUGAGCAAACCAUGGACAAAAAGUUCACAUAUGCGAAGAUUAAAUCGAUAUUUGUAUUACUAUCUUCCACUUGGUUAGUAUUUCCUGUGGUUUGAUUUAAAAUCUGGUUUUUCGCAGGGUGUACUGAGUGACGGUAAAGAAGUGGCGAUCAAGAGGCUUUCAAGCUGUUCUGAGCAAGGCUCAGAGGAAUUCACAAAUGAAGUUCGGCUGCUAAUGAAACUUCAACAUAAAAAUCUUGUUAGGCUUUUGGGUUUUUGUGUUGAGGGAAAGGAAAAACUGCUUGUCUAUGAAUACCUGCCAAACAGCAGCCUAAAUGUCUUCCUCUUUGGUAUGUUUUCUCUUGAUCUCUCAAAAAUUUCUGUAUGUGGGAUUUAACUUCAACUGUUUCAUACUAUUGCUAAGAUUUUCUUGUCAGAAAUAUUUUAGUCUGUAAAUUCUCCUCCAAUGAUGCUUAGAUUCAGAGAAACGAGCGCAGCUUGAUUGGAGCAGACGUGUAAACAUUAUAAGUGGAAUUGCACGGGGAAUUCUUUAUUUACACGAGGACUCUCGACUUCAAAUCAUCCAUAGAGACUUCAAAUCAUCCAUUAGUAAUGCUCAUUGAUUUGAAUUCACUGUUAAGAUGGCUGUAAUUAUAAUAACUUCAACCGUUAGAUCAAAUUUUAACGACACGAAUUUCCUGAUUUAAUGAAUUAGAAGGAAAUGAUCCUGAUUAUAUCCUAUCUUCCUAUAGCACUCAUCACGUCGUUAACCUCACCUCCAAUUUUUUCUGCCAAAUUAUGCAUAUAUUAAAAUCCAGUUGUCUGAUACUGUUUAUUACAAGUGAAAGGACGAAAAUACCCUUGAUUUCUUCUUUGCUCUGCAUACUGUUCCAUUUUUCUACAGUGGAAAGUCGGCUAUGCCCUUCCCAGCCGCACGUCUUUCAUCUUUUGUUUCUCUGCUUCGACCGCAUCUUUUUCGCUUUUACCCUUCCUCUUCGUUUUUCACCUUCAUUAGUUUGCGAUUUUCUCCCUCUUCGUCAGCCCGUCUUUUGCCCUCAAUUCCUUUCUUUUUCUUUCGCAUUUAUGGCGCGUUUACGUAACGGUAAUGAAAAUAUGAGAAAUUGAAUUGAGGAGGAGUUGGAAUGAGGAGAAGUCAGAAUCGGAUUCUUGUUAAAGUUGUUUACUUAAAUGUUCUGGAAUCGAAAUAGAAUUUCAUAAAGCUGUUUACUAAUUCAGCAGAAUCGGAAUAUAAACAUGUAUGAUUACUAAAAUGCCCUUGUCCCAAAUCAAAUAUUUUAUAUACUUUAAUGGGUUUAUAAAGGAUAGUCUUGGAAAUAGAAAAAGUAAGUGAGGGCAUAAAGGAAACAAAAGUAUCAUUCCGAUUACCCAAACAAUAAGGAAUUGGAUUACCACCUAUAUCUAGGGAAUCCAAUUCCACCAACACAAGGAAUUGAAUUCCAAAAUUUGUGUGGGUCCACUGCUUUUUUGAUUCCUCCAUGUUUAGUAAACACCGGAAUACUCCGUAAUCAGAAUUUAAUUCCACAUUCUCAUUCCGAUUACGGAUACGUAAACACGCCCUUAGUUUCCAGUCUCUCCCGGUAUUGAAUCAUUUGUUAUUCGGCGUUUUGUUCUCAUCUUGCGAUCGUCGGGGCAAGAACUUUAAGGUUAGUUUGUUCUCAAUGUUUUAUCCUUAUUUUGCUAUCUCUAGGCCGAUAAAUUUAAGGUCUUUGUUUUUGUUUUUGCUGCGGAUCUGCAGGUUGGGACAAUUUUUUUAUGAAAUUGGUGACUAAUCGCAUGCUGCCUCUUCAGAUUAUUGACAAAGAAAUUAUAUUGAACUUGGGUAAGUUUUAUAACAACUACGUGUAAUUUUCGAUUCUCAGUUUGUAUUUGUUUGAAAGAAACCCUGAAAAUUGGUUUUCUUUCUGUGUUCUCAAUUGAUUCAAUGCGUAGCAUUAGAAAAAACAUGUAAUUAUUGGGGGUUUUUGUUUUUGGUGGAUUUAGAGUUUUGUUAAAGUUUGAUUAUAUUGGAGUUGAAUUUGGUUGCUCCUUGGCUGUGGGGAGAGAGGUCGGGUUCGUCAUUUGGUGAAGAAGGGUUGAGGAAAGAGACAGGGGGUGUAAGUGUGGUUGCAGAUGAGAACUAUCAAAUUUUCUAUCUUUUCAAUUUCUGCAGAGCACCCGUUUCCUUCCUGCAAAUGGGUCUUACAAACUUUCACUCGGUUCUAUCAAUUUUGUUAGAAUCAACAAUUCUGCGGAGCAUUUUUGCAUUGAAUUUCAGCGACCCAUUUGCCUAAUUAGUUUGCAAUUAUAUGGUAUUUUAAAAAAGUUCAAAAAUUAACUCACACAUUCUCCACAAGCACCUGAUUCUUCAAAAUUUUCCAAAAAUGGAGAACUGAAUCACCCAAUUUUCUUAAUUAAAGAAAAAAAAAAAUCAGUUUUCUUUUUGGUCAAAUUUGAAUACCCAAAGAAGAAGUAAGUGAAUUUUCUCAGAGGGGGGAGAGAGAGAGAGCGCAGCGGGGGACUGACCUCUAAACAGCAAAAGCAGAAACGAAUCACUUGAUUUUUAAACUGCAAUGAUCAGGGAUCUUAAAAACUUAGCAGUUUUUCUGAAUUUGUUUUCUUUAUCUUUUGGUUAAAAAACAUAUUAAAAUUAUAUCUUUGUUAAUCAAUGUUAUGAGGGUUAUCCACUGAGUGGUGUAAUGUGUUUAUAUCUUUUUUUUUCAUUACUUUUGCCUAUUCUUUUUCACUUUCUUUGUAUCACUUAAUUUUUAAGGUGUAUUGAUCAGGAAGGAAAAAAACUUUAACAUUUUUUGUUGCUGUAUUCUUUCGUUUUGAUUAAGAGAUAUAUCUCUGUUUAUCAAUGUUAUUGCCAUGGGGUAAUGGUUUUGCUGUUAUAAAUUCUUGAAACUGUAAUUCCCUCUGUCUUUGUCGUGUUAAAACUAUAUAUUGUGAUUGCAGGUUUUUAAAAACUUGACCUUUGCAGAUUGUUCAAACAAACAAUGAACCUAUAAUAAGUGGGACUUGGAUUGUCUGCCCUCCUAGUUGUGGUGCCCUUCCAUGCCCUCCUAUUUUGUACGGUCACGGUUAAGCCACGUCAAUAUUUUAUAUUAAUUUUUUAAUAAGAUAAUAAAACAAAAAAUAAUAAAAAUAUAAAAUAUUGACGUAGCUUAACCGUGACCGCACAAAAUAGAAGGGCAUGGAAGAGCACCACAACUAGGAGGGCAGAGAAUCCAAAUCCUAAUAAGUGAGGGAUAACUCACUUCGACCCUACCACUAUUAUUUGUCUAGCAUAUUCUCAUCUCAAAAGAAUAAUAAUUACAGUUACAUAAUUAUCAGAUUAAAGUUUUCAACACUUUUCUCACUAAAUGAGGUCGCUAUCAGAUUAAAGUUUAAGAUGAAGAAUUCCACUUUACUCAGAAUCCGACAAUUGUUUCUUCCACGACACCCAACUUUAAAAGUCUUAGUGUGAAUUGUCUAACUUUUGAUUUUGAGAUAAGAUUCCUUCUUAAAAGAUAAUAAUUGUUCAAAAAGUGAGUGUGAGAUUUUAAAAGUCUGUGUGAAUUGUCUAUCUAACUUAUGAUUUUGAGAUAAGAUUCCUACUACAGAUAUACCCUCUCCACAUGCCAUAAUGAGCCAAAGUACACCUUAAUGAUACAGAAAAGAAGAAAGUUUUUAUCUAUGCUUUUAGAUAUCCAUCUUAAACUUCUCAAUAAACAGUUGAAUACUUGAUUAUGUAUAUAGAGCAACCCAAAAGAAGAAAGUUUUUAUCUAUUUAUUGGUAACAACCAAUUCCUCUGAAGAAAAAAAAAGAUGAAAAUGAUGACAUCUGAAAUGCUUGAUCAAAUUACAUCUCUAUAUUUUGCAGAGAAACCAAACCAAAGAUAUCUGAUCCAUCUUUAGCACGUAUUAUAUCCCAUUCUUAUAUGGAAACUUUUUUCAGAUUAAUCACUCCACAAAUUUUAGACAAAUUUAUAUUCACAAUUUCCAAUUUGACAAAAUACUUUAUUGCCCUGUGUUAUCUUUUGUGAUAAACAUAUGAAUGCACAAAAACAACCACACAUGCCUUACCCAUUUAGAUAGCCAUUUGUAUCCAUGUUUAUACAUCUAUCUUAAAUGCUCAAUAAACUUGGCUUGACUUUGCACACUCCCCUCGCUUAUUGACCAAUGACUCAGUACCAAGUCUUUUUUUUUUUUUUGGUCAUAACUCAGUACUAAGUGAGAUCGAUAUUUUCUUGUGCUCGUCCUGGAAACAAACCGGACAAAGCCUAAUGGUGGCCUAAAACAAUAACAGACAAAUCAGCCAAGAUGAGGAACACAAAAUAUGCAACCAUGCGUUCUAAUCCCCUCCUUUUAUAUUAAUUCCUAGAGAAGGCCAACCAUGCUCAAGGCAACGCGUAUCGACUAAUGACCAAUACUAAGUCAGGUGGAUGUUUUCUUGUGCAUUUCCUGGAAAUAAAUGGGACAAAGCCUAAUUGUGGACUACAACAAUAACAGACAAUUAAGAGUAGGGACACAUUUUCCCCCAACCCAAAAUAUUCCACCACGCCUUUUAAUCCCUUCCAUAUAUAUAUAUAUAUAUAUAUAUAUAUAUAUAUAUAUAUAUAUAUUCCUACGGAAGGCCAACCUUCUUAAUUAGCAGUUCCUUAAUUUCUUGGAUCCAUCACCUGCUUGGAUUUUAUUCUCUGCUACUGCUAGGAUCUGCUCGACCCCUUUCAGUUAAUACUAUAUGGCGUUACUUAGGAGGAUGCAUAUUUUGCAUCUCUCUUUAGUAAUGGUGGUGGUAGUUACAAUUUUACUAGGAAUUCCAACUCCAACCACAGCUCAAUCUCUCCUUCCGCCUCAGGCACUGCCUGGCUGCCCUGACCAUUGUGGUAAUCUCACAAUUCCAUACCCAUUUGGCAUAGGCGAUGGUUGCUACCUCAACGACCGGUUUAACAUCACUUAUAACAUUUCCACUCAACCGCCAACAGCAUUUAUGAUGACGAGCAAUCUCGAAAUUACCAACAUUUCUCUUUAUGACGGUGAGCUCCAAAUACUACAGUUCACAUCCAGUGAUUGUUAUGAUGCCCAAGGCAACAGGACCCGACGGAACCGUCCCAAGCUCUGGGUGCCUCCUCCUUACACCAUCUCCAAAACCAAAAACGUGUUCGUUGCAGUUGGAUGCGACACAUAUGCGUUUUUUAUAGGUUACCGGGGUGAAGAAAAGUACACAACUGGGUGUAUGUCCAUAUGUGACAAUCUUGGCAAAGCUAUCGAUCAGCGGGAUACUUGCUCUGGCUUUGGAUGUUGCCAAACUAAAAUCCCCGGUGGGCUGCAAAAUCAGACUGUGACCUUGGGAAGUUUAGACAAUUAUACGGAUGUGCAGGACUCCCACCGAUGCAGCUACGCGUUCCUUGUGCAAGAAGGCGAGUUCAACUUUACCAGCACGAGUUUUCGAGAACUAAACGAAACAACCAAGCUUCCGGCAAUUAUUGAUUGGGUAAUUGGGAAUAAGUCAUGUGAUAUUGCAGCUAAAAACGAGAGCACUUUUGCAUGCAAGGCAAAUAGCUCCUGCCAUACUCGGUCUUCAGGCUACAUAUGCCGGUGCUGGUCAGGUUACGAAGGGAACCCAUACCUCCCAGGUGGUUGCCAAGGUAAAUAAAUCUAGACAGCAUUUGACCAUUUGAUUAUUAUCAUAAAAAAAAUUGCGUUCAUCAAUAUGUAUACGUGCAUGUAUGUAUGUAUGUAGGUCUACUUUUUUUUUAUUAUGGUUAAACAAAUAAAUUUCCAAUUUGCUCGACUUUUUUGCAUAUAUAAUGUAAUAGAAGCAGGAGUUAAAUCCCUUAAAUAGUGUGCUAGGAACCUCAAUCAAAAUAUUUAAAUAAACAAGGUUUUAAUAUAACAAUUAGGUUGACUAGAGACCAGAAUCAAAAUGACCCUUAUCAUUAAAAUAACAUGUAAGCUUAGCUGACGAUGCCAAAGUAGCCACCAAUUAGCCACGGAUUAUCAAAUCUGUGGGUUCAUGAACUGUCUCCUUCAGCAUUUUUUUAGUAGCAAGUUGUUAACAAAAAGUCUCAAAAGUGGGAAUUAAUUUUUACCUAUUGUUCAUGGAUUUAAUUCAUUCUCUUUCUGUUCAGAUAUUGAUGAGUGCAAGGCUCCAAACCCCUGCAGUAUGGGAACCUGCAUAAAUACACCGGGAAAUUAUACUUGCAAAUGUCCAAAAGGGUACAAAAAUGACGAUCCGGAUAAAAUAAGAUGCAUCAAGGCCAACAGUCGGGCAAAGCUCAGUCUCCUGCUUAUUAUCUCACUAGGUAUGCAUAUGUUAGUUUUAUUUUACUUUUUCUUUAGGCGCGUGUUUUUGCAUAUACAAUGGAUAUUGGGUGAAGGGAAAAGUUGAACUCGGGUCUUGUGUGCGAACUUAGUUACAAAUCUCUUACUUGGAUUGUUAGUUUAUUACUAGAAUCAGUGUCAAUUUAUCCAUGUUAUAGCAAUACCUCAUAACAAAUCGUCGGCAAACAAAAUCAGUUUUAAGUUUUUUGAAUUAAAAAAGCCAAAACACAUUUUCAGAGAGUCCAUUAGCCAGACAAAAUCAUAAUAGCCAACCACAGACAAAUCCAGAAAAACAUAGAAACAAAAUAGAAUCAUUUAAAUUUUGUAGGCUGUUAGUUUCUCAAGUAACCUAUACAUAUUCAUUCAAAUUAUGCAUGUAUUGGGGCGCUUUAAGCAGAAUGGUAGUGUAGUAUUCAAAAUUUAUUUUCAAAUGAUCACAAAUGAAUCUCCCACUAUUCUACUCAAAACUUAGUGAAAAUUGCAUUGUUUUUAUAAAAACAUUGAAAAACAUAUGAACUCAUGCCCAACUUUGAUUAAUCCAUAAUUAAUAGCUGACUAUUUCAAUACUAAAAGUUGAUAAGAGAACAUUGGAAAACAUAUGAACAUGCCCACCUAUUAUCAUAUCUGACAUUGCAGUUGAUUAAUCUCACAUAAAUCCACAUCAAAAGAACCCAGAAAUUUAAUGAAGAAUUUUCCAAAACCCACAAUUUAAACUAAAACCCACAAAUUUAAACGAAAAACUCUAUAAAAUCAUGAAAAAUUUAAUAAAAUCCAAGUAUAUUAAUCACAAAUUCGAUCAUACAAAUCUUCACAUCCAAUAAGUCUAGAAGGUACCUAGCUUCCUUGCAAAAUCGUAUCUCUACAGGCCAAGGCUCAAAUUUCCUUGCAGCUGCCUUGAUUCGAUAAGUCCUGAUUCAAGCAGUCACACACACACAUAUAUAUAUAUAUAUAUAUUUAAGUUGAUGGGUUCAACGGGCAUAUACACUUAUCAGAAAUUAUGAUACCGAUUGAACACGUUAGAGUAAUGUCCGUGAUUAAACAAUGAGCAUGAAAAUGACUAACCGGGUAACACAAACUGCUCAAAUUUGGGGGGCUUGAAUUUGAAGAACCCAGAUGGAAUUUACACACAAUCUGAAAAGAAUGAAAGCAACUGUAUUAUAUAGGAAGAGUUGUUACAAUCAAGAAAAUAUAAGAUAUUGCGUCGUUGCACUAUAUGAUCUCGGGAUCCAAACAAAAAAUAAGUAAACAGAGAGAGAACUAUUGGAAAGCAAUUACCUUUCAGAAUCUUCUCAGUUCUCUUCUAGAGCGAGGAGACAGAAGUUUUCUAAAACAAUCAAAACCUUGCUUUGUGUUAACUAAUGAAUGGUCUGAAUUGUGAAAAAAAAAAAUCGAAUUCAAAUCCUCCUUCAGCAACCUAAUAAUUAAGCCUAUAAAAAUUUAAAAACUCUAAAAUGAGAAGAAUAAUAAAACAAUGUGUAUUCAAAUCACAGGAAAUAAAUCAAAAUAUAAACCAUCAGAAACAAAGCUUCGAUCCAUUCAAACUCCAUAUUAAAUUUUGUUAUCAAAUAUAAGAAACUAUCAUGAAUCCCUGCACUUCAUUAUAUAAAAACCCAUCAUAAGAAACGCUGCUAUUUUGUCAACCGUGGACUGGAAGCAUACCAAAUCAUACACCCACAAUCAAAACCCAAAAAAAAAAAAAUGUUCAACAAAAAAUUCAAUACGAAAAACAAAAAUUAUAUACCUUGAUCACAAAGGGCUUGCACACAAAAACCCCAAUAUUCGAAGACCAACGUUUCCUGACAGAAAAAAUCAAACCAGAUCAGACAGCCACACGCAAAUCACCAAAAAAAUUUAAAUCAGGAACACUAAAAAAGCCGCAAAACUCACCAGAAAACGUUAGGUUAUGUGGGUUAAAAACGGAUUCCAAUCGAAUUCAAAAAGGCACGAAAAACUCACCAGGAAACCCUAGCUUUUUUGGGUAAAAAAGUUCCUUCAAAUCAACCUGAAAAACUGAAGAAGCAUUCUUGAGUUCAAUAAAAAUCGAAAUUUAAGCAAGCUUUCUGACCUGAAAAGGUUGGAUUAGAUCAGCCCAGAACAAAUUCUAUUCGGAUUAAAAAUGGGUAGAAGCUUCUAACCCCUUAUUGAUUUUCAAGAAAUCAACUUUGAUAACCAAUUCGCGAACAACAAAACAAGAGGCUGAUUAAUUUGAACAACCAAAAAGAUGAAGCGGUACGGGUAGAGAAAACAAAUCGGAGACGGAAGGAAGGAACUCCAUGUAUGCGCGAGAGGAAAGUGAAAAGCUAAAAGAAAGGUCCAGAACGACUAAAGCCAAACCGUGCACCGAUGACGGACAGGUGGAAUAAAAGGGCAUAACCGUCAUAAAACGCUGACAGAAAAAAUUUGGAGGGUAUUUUCCCCUGUUUGUGUGGUUAGGGUUAAGUCAUAUCAAUAUUUUAUAUUAAUUUUUUAAUAAAGAUAAUAAAAUAAAAAACAAUAAUAAUAUAAAAUAUUGACUUGGUUUAACCGUAACCACAUAAAUAGGAGAGGAUGGAAGUGUAUGGGAAGUGGAAGAGUAGAAAAUCCAUCUCCUUUUUGCCACUCCACUGUUAGUGAACAGUAACCAAGAGUUUGGGUUUUAGGGAGGAGGAUUCUCUCUCUCUCUCUCCCCCCCCCCAUCUCUUUCCCCUUUCCUCCCCUCCUAUUUGAACUGUCACGGUUAAGCCACGUCAACAUCUUAUAUUAACUAAUCUCUCUCCCCUUCCCUCCCCUCCUAUUUGAAUGGUCACGGUUAAGUCACGCCAACAUCUUAGUAUAAUAAGACAAAAAACAAUGUGUAAGAGGAGGAGAGGGAAGAUGAUGAGAAUAGGAUGGGAGAGAAUCCUAAUCCAGAUUUUAGUAUAGAAAUAAUUUACAUAUGUCACAUCAUACAGUCCUAGUCUAAAAUUCUAAACUUGCUAAUUUUCCUUUGAACAAUUGCACUCAAAUUUUACCCACUUUCAGAACCAAAACUUUCAAACAUAUAUCAGAAAUGCUCUUUGGAAGACAGGUUUUCAAAUCAAUAUUAUCAAGAAUGUAACAAUCGAAAAUGGUACGUACACUUUGUUAUUGACAUGAUAUUAAAACUGAUAUCGGCACAUUGUCAAUAACAUAUAUAUGAAGAGUUUGUCUUGCCCAAAGAAUGAUUAAUACUUACAUAUAUGUGGCUUAGAAAGAUCCAUGCAUGUACAUAAUGAUUAAAUAUUCUCAUUGUGUAGCAUAUGUCAUUUUUUGUUACAAAUUAUCACUUUGCUCUAAAACAAGAAAAGUACUCACCAGACGACAAAAACAAGAUUAAUACAUUGAUGAUUUGCUAUGUAUAAUUUCUUGUAAUUCAUGUAAUCAUCUUUGCAGGUGCCAGUGGAGGCUUCUUGCUUUUACUAAGUGGAUCUUGGAUAUAUUGGGGAAUGCAGAGAAGAAAGUUCCUCAAACUCAAAGAAAAAUACUUUAAAGAAAAUGGUGGCUUAUUGUUACAACAAAAAAUCGCUAGUCAAGGAGGCUCUAUGGAGACAACAAAAAUUUUCACGGCAGAAGAACUUGAGAAGGCAACAAACAAUUACCAUGAAAGUGGAAUCCUUGGUGAAGGAGGCUAUGGAAUAGUUUACAAAGGAAUAUUAGCAGCAAAUAACAAUAAAGUGGUUGCCAUAAAAAAGUCUAAAAUUUGUGUCCUAACGCAGAAGGAGCAGUUUGUCAACGAGUUGCUUGUUCUUUCUCAAAUCAACCAUAGAAAUGUGGUGAGGUUAUUGGGUUGUUGUUUGGAGUUAGAAGUUCCUCUACUAGUUUACGAGUUUGUCGCUCACGGCACUCUCUUUGAGCACAUACAUGGCAAAAAGAGGAAAGGAUCAUCAUUUUCAUUGGAAUUACGACUCAAGAUAGCAGCUGAAAUUGCUGGAGCACUAGCAUACUUACACUCCUCAGCUAUGAUGCAAAUCAUACAUCGAGAUGUGAAACUGACAAAUAUACUGUUAGAUGAAAAUUACACGGCAAAAGUGUCAGACUUUGGAGCUUCACGAUUGAUUCCUCUUGAUCAAGCCCAACUUGCAACUUUAGUGCAAGGAAUAGUCGGAUACUUAGACCCUGAAUACUUCCUCACGAGUCAACUAACAGAUAAGAGUGACGUCUAUAGCUUUGGAGUUGUCCUUAUGGAGCUACUAACAAGUAAACUGGCACUUGAUUCUGACAGGCCUGGGGCAGAUAGAAGCCUAGCAAGGUUCUUUGUUUGUUUAAUGGAGGAGGAUCGCCUGAAUGAAAUUCUCGAUGAUGACAUGCUCAACGAGAGAAACAUCGAGACACUAAAAACAGUGGCCAAUCUAGCAAAAAGAUGUGUAAGGGUAAAAGGGAAGGACAGGCCAACAAUGAAAGAAGUUGCCAUGGAGCUGGAAGGGAUGAGAAUUACAGAAAAGCAUCCAUGGGGAAAAGCUGAAACUUGUUCAAAAGAGAUUGAGUGCUUACUUGGGCCAGGUAACUCAGAUGCUUAUCAUAUGGAUGUUAGAGCUGAUUGUGGUCCUAGUACUGGUACAACUAUUGGGUAUGACAGCAUGCAUAUCCAGUUUACUCCAUAUGAUGAUGGACGAUAAUUCAUUGCAUGAAAUAAUCAACUCAACAAUGUUUAUCAUUCUAGCCAUAGUGAAGGAUGUACCAACAUCAAGUAGAAGCCGCUGCUAGUUGGAAAUAACUCAACAUCUAUAUACAACGUUCUAAAGUUUAAGUAUGUUUUAUCACAGUCGUCAGUGUGAUCACAUUUGCCAUAGCGGAUGUGCUUCCUCUAUACACUCGAGUUUGAAUUUUUCUUUUGUUGUAGUUUAGAUUUAGUUGAAAGUAAAGUAUCGCUUGUAUAAAAUAAAAUCUCUUUUUCAUCAUUUUGAAAACGUUUUUAUUUAGGGUAUGUAUCAGAACAUUAGGUGGUGGAGAUCCCAACCUUGCAUGUAAGAAGUGGCCCAACACCACAAACUAUAGCUAAUUUCUUCUUCAAAAUAAGUAUGAGUUUGGAAGAUCCUGAGUUAUGUGUACUAGCCUCCCCUAUUUAAUUAGUGUGUAUGAUUAUUAAUUGUUAAUAUGUUAGUGAGAAAUAUUUCAUAAAUAAGGUUGUAGAAAGAAAAAAAAUCCCCUUAUAUUAUAUAUAUACUAAAACUUAAGCAAAAAGCACUAUUCACCAGUAGUGAACCGCCGAAAAUGUCCUUGGAUUCCCUUGUUACUAGCCAUUUUUUCCAACUUGGCACAGCAAAAAGACGCAUUUGCCCUCAUUCGUGUGCUUUUUGGUUCCAUCCUCUUAUACACGUGUUGCUCACCGUUCCCCUUUUAGGCUACCAAAAACUUUGAUUGUUCCUAAAAAUAAUUUUCAAAUAACAUCACUUAAAAACAAUUUUCUUUUAAAUCUCAAAAUUUCAAAAAUUUGUUUGGUUGAGUUUUUAAAAAUAAAUUUUUUAGUUUGAAUUCAAACUACUUUGAGCAAAAAUUGAAGAAGAGAGACAAUUGGGAAAGAGGAGAGAGGAAAUAGUUGGCGAGGAGGUGAGGGAGAGAGCAAAAAAUUACGGUGAGAAGAUGAGGAGUGAGAAGAAAGAGAGGGUGAUGAGACAAAGGCUGAGGAGAGAAAGAAGACAUGUGUGACGUGAGGAGAGAGGAAAGAGAGGGUUAGGAGAGAAAAAAAGAAAGAAUUAGGAGAGAGGGGGAAAAAAAGAUGUUGAGAAGAAAGCAGAAAAAACUCUAAAAAUUCACUUGGUGUAUUCAAUUGAGAAUUUGAGAGACUUUAAUAAAUUUAUAAAUUCAUGGAUUUUUAUAGAGUUUAAUUGAUUUGUAGAGAUUUCAUAUAAAAUUUAGAUUCAAUUCCCUUGAAAUCUCAUGAGAAGAUGGGAGAUUUGUGGAUGCUUAAAAUACACUACGAAAUCUCUCAAAUUCCCUUUAAUUCCUCAACUUUCUCAAAUUCUUUAAAAUUAAUUUUUAAUUUAAUACACCUGGAAUGUUAUAAACUUCUUUAAAAUCCUAAUUGAAUACAGCCGAAUUUCCAAUGAUUUUAAUAAAAUAUCUUAAAAUUAUAAUUGACUACACCUUGAAUUUCAUAUAAUCACUUAAAAUCUUGAUUGAAUACCCCUAGAUUCAUUAAAAGAAUUAAAAUCCCUCAAAAUCCCAAUUGAAUACACCCCAUGUGUUUUUAAGAAAUUGAUAUGUUUUUAAGUUAGUUUUGAAUCCAAUUUAAAAAAAAAAGGUCAUACCAAACAAGAAUUCAACUCCUAAAACUCAUAAAGUGUUUUUCAGUUAAAAAAGUUGAACUCAAGUAGAAUACCAAACAAGCCCUUAAUUGUUUUGAUUUCUUUUGAAUUUGGCUUUUAUUUUAUUUUCAAGCUUUGAGCCUUUGAAAUUGUUUCUAAUUUCUCCAUUAGUAAACUAAGGAUGAAAUUUAUUCUUUCUUAACAUUAUUUGACUGCAGAUUCUAGGUUCCAACCUCCAGUUACGCAACAUACUUGAUUCCAAUUCUUAGUAAGGGAGAUGAUGCAAAACCCAGAAUUUCUUCGUCAGUUGGCUUCUCCCGAGACUAUGCUGGUAUAUUUAUUUAGGAUGCCUAAGGUUUUGAGUUUUGAUGUUUGUGUUUGACUAAUUGAGCAUUGAUAUAGCCGUCAUAUAUGACACCGCUAAGAUUCUCAAUUCUUAGUCAUUCAUAUUUACAAUUUGAUUUGUGGUCUUUUGACCUCUCUACUGCCUUACCAAGCACAGCUCGACAAUCCCCAGCAUUAGCAACUAUCAGGGUCCUGCAAAAAGUACAAAGUAUGUAUGACUAAGACAUGAAACCUAAUUAAGAUUCACAAAUUCUAAAUACUUUGUAUUUAGAAAGCAAUUCCAGGCAAACUCAAUGCUCAUCAUUCAUUUUCUGUCUCUUUCAUAAUUUAACUUUUGCUUCUUAUUGCCUUUGUUUUUUCUUUUCUAUCUUACCGAUGCUCUUAACUUUGCAGCAAUCACUUCUGUCUCAACUUGGUCGGCAACAGUAACAGUCAGCCCAGUAAGAAGUGACAUAAUUUUUUCUUUGAUAUGUCUGAUAGAAAUAGCCUGAAUUAUUUCUCCCUUAGAUCCCUGCGGAAUCCAUAUUGAUCACUAUGGAUUAAUUAUGCAACUCGAUUGAAGUUUGAAGGUAAUUUCAUAAUGUUAAAAGCCUUUAAAUGGAUGAUAAAAUAUUGUUAAACUCCUCAAACUUUAUUCGAGCUCUACUUUCAAUUUAAUUUCAUAUCAGUGAGAGAAUAUAAUUUUACUUGAAAGCUUGGAAAAAACUAAUAAUUUUUGGUAAAAUGUCUUUACGUCAUAGACAAGCAAACAUUAUCAAAACUAUGUGUUUGAGUUGCAAAGAUAUGUGUGCAAAAGAAUAGGUGACCUCUGUAUUCUAUAUUUCUAACAUUUUUUUUUCCAAAAUCCAUGAUGAGCAAUUUAUGUUUCUCUUUCUUUUAACAUUUUUUCCUUCAAUUUUGCUGGCUUAAUAAUUUGACUGACACCUACUUUUCAGAAUUAGAAUAGAAUAUGGUUAUAAUUUUAUGCAAUUGUGGGGUAAUUGGCAAACCUUGAGUCCCUUUUAUGCGUGUUUGAAGGAACAAACAGAGUUUGUAAACCCCUACCUUGCUCAUACAUGUUUUACUCUUUUAUUGUCGUCUAAUUUAUUUUCCUGUUUUGGUUUAGGCUUUUAGUUUUGUUAAUCUGGUAAGAAUUACGUUUUGUCUGAUAGCUUGGAUUUAGAAUUUGACUAGGAAAUAAGCCCGCACGUUGUUGCGGGAACCAACUGUUUCAGGUGUAGCUGCAUGAAGAAGACAUAUUUCAAGCGUAACUGCAUGAAUAAGACACAAAGUCAGUAAGUAAAGCUCAUAUUCUUAACAGUGUUAUUUUAACAACAAUUUUGAGUCUUACUGCAUUUUAUGUCCAAUAGGAAUUUAAUUGUCUUUCUAUACCAUGGAGUGGUGCCAAAAGAUUAUUUUAUGGAGUUAUUGAUGAAAGAUCUGGAAAAUACUCAGUGGUGUUUUUUGCAACAGGCGUGCAGCAGCCAAAAGUAAGGUUAUAUUUCUAUCUAUUUAAAUGGCUGCCAUAUUGUUGUUUUUAUACAUGUCUACAUUUCUUUUCACUAUUUCUAGUUCCUUGAUGGGUUUCGUUCCUUCAUGUUCUGUAUUUCCAAUUGCCUUAAGCUACGGCGGGAUGGAUGAUGAUUACAACACGUUUAAGUUGAUGUCUUCUCAUAUUCGUGUAGAAGAAUAAUAUUUGCAACAUCGUUUGUCAUUCUUGAAGAAAGAGGAAAAUAUUAGUUUUAAAAAAGGGAAAAUUUCUAGUGCUCAGAGUUAUAUGUUGAUGGGAACCACUGAUCCAACAGGGACUCUAGAAAAGAAUAAAGUUUGUGUUCUUCUGUAUGUACAAUUUCUGCCAUUUUUUUAAUCCCUCCUGUUACACAAUUAGUAGGAUGAAACUGAAUGUUCAAGUACUUGUUUAAGUAGCUAACUUCCGAAGCACAAAUGUUCAAAGCAAAAAAUAUGCAAAAAGGUUGUUCCCAUAAGAAACUGAAGAAACAAAAACAACAACAUGCAGUUAACACUUUGUUUGCUUUUGCAGUUAAGAUGGUUAAAUAUAUGUGUUGCAAGCUAGCCAAUUGUUUUAGCAUUAAGAAAAAACAUUUCCGAAGCACAAAUGUUAAAAGAAAAAAAAAAUGCAAAAGGAUUGUUCCCAUAAGAAACUGAAGAAACAAAAGCAAUAUGUAGUUGACAGUUCCGCAGUUAAGAUGGUUAAAUAUAUGUCUUGCAAGCUAGCCACUUGUUUAGCACUAACAAAAAACAUUAAAAAGUGUUUCGUUCUUGUUCCAGCACCUAAGUUUUUAAGCACAAAUUUUCAACGCAAAAAACAUGUAGCACAUCCUGUAGCACUCGAUGACGAAGAUUGUGGGUGUUCACUUUUUCUGAGAUCGGACAUCUUCCACACUAUAGCAAAAAAACAUAAAUAAUCAUUUAACAGACACUGCCAUCAUUGAUAUUGUGUAGAUGUGGGUGUGAAAAACAAAUUAUAAUUUACCUAUCUUUGGUUUUUUUGGCCUGAGUUUUUAUCUUGAGUGCGGCUAUCGGCACUUUGUCGGCGGGUUCAAUUUUGGGGACAACCAGAUUGUGGAAUUCUCUAGCAAUUCUUGUAGAAUUGGUUGUGUCUGUUUGCUGGGGGCAAGGUUUUUUGCUGUUAACGAAGGUAAAUUUUAUAAGGUUAAAGAGAAACAUGAUAGCCAUGGAGAAGAGUGCGAAAGAGUGGUGCAAAAAGUUUUGUAAACAGUUUUUCAUGAUUGACUAAAUUUACACUGAAGAUAAGCAAGUAUAGUUAUUAAGAUUGACACAUGACAACAUUUAUCGUCAGGAAAACUUUACCUGUCAGGUUUGUUCGUUUGAUCAGGGAACAAUACUCUCUUUGAAGUUAUGGCGGGUGCAACUGAUUUGGGUUGUUGAUCUGGUUGUUGGGAAAGUGUCAAUGGGGCGGGGGUUGCUUGACUGGUAAUUUGUUUGCCUACACUGGUAGCGGGUGUUUGUGGUAUGACUGAGGCAAUCGUUGGGUUGGAGAGCGGUUGGUCUUCAACCAGUCCAUUAACGAUGAAGUCUGUUUUUGCAAAGUCGCUGUUUUUCUUUCCAAAAGAUAGUUGAAAGGUUUUUGACUUGCCGACCAAAUUGUUAAGAAUUGGCGGCACCACGAAAGGGUCCUCGUGUCCGUUCUCUAUCACCAAAGUGUAGCAAGAAAUGCCAAGCCUCUUUUCGGCUUGCCUUCCUAUCAUGAGGAAGUUGUGUUGGUUCGUGUUAUCUUCGACAAUCAGAUUGAUCUUGAACCUGUGCAAGAGGAGGAUAUUUUGUGUUAGACAAUCAUACAUUCUAAGCGAAAGUUGGUAACCAAAAUGGAGAGGUCCUACAAUAUCCAUUUCGUCACUGAACUUAUUGAAUUCAACAUACCAGUUAACUUUAAACUAAAGAAAGUGUGCUACAAUAUUUAAAAGCGGUCAUAUGACAAUAGCUAAGAAAACAGCCAUUCCUCCUAAGCGAUGUAAAUUUUAUUGACUUAUUACAUCAAAGCAGCAUUCACGUAUCAUCAUUAUGGUUGUUUUGGAAACUCUUAAGUUUCUUCUUUAAAGGUGGGAAAAAGACUAUAGGUGUAGACUAUCCUAAACACAUUAUAGCAGGAAUAUUUACGAUAAUGUCACUAAUACACUCCCAAGGGUCAAACAGUAGUCAAAGUAUAAUGGAGAUGGAGACCACUGUAAAUUUAUUUGUAUGCACGCAUUUUAGAUCAUGAAUCAAAGACCAACAUAUGCAUGAGAGUGAAUGCAAAAAUAUAUGCUGGCUGAAGAAAGCUGUGUGCUCGUCACAUGUUCUACCUUCUUGUCGCAUAAAAUAUCGUAGAUAUAAAAGCAUUAUUAUGUGUGAAUUUGAUAAUCAUAAGAAUUUCAAAAAGGACUCAACAACUUAAUAUAACCGUUAGACGUAAAAUAGAUGCAAAAGAUUAUUACCAUGGCUCGGGUAAUUUGUUUAUCAAACCAUGUUCGUUGCACUGAAAUGAUCCACACAUCUUCUUACAACUUUAUGACAGGAUGGGCAAGAGUUGUACCACCAACCUCUGGCCAAAUCGAAGUCAACAACAGUCGCUUUGCAUGUGAAACUUGCAUUCUGUUAUUGAAACAUAGGUUUUAAAAUGAUCAUCGACAUUUAAUCAUCACCUUGGAAACAUGGUGUAUAAACGAAUACACACUCUGUCAUACUUUUAAUAUCUUGGUUAUUGGAAGUUAUCAACAACAUAUUUGUGGACUGCUUGUUCACUUUGAUUGUUUCUCCUAUUCAUGUUAGUUAUUAUUCUAAAGCCUAUGUUUACAUUAAUAUUAAGCGUGAUAACCAUAAAGAAAAGGUAUCUAAUAGCUUAAUGAACUUUACAUGUUGCAUUUGACUUUUCUUUUGAGAUGUCUUAGGGGUAUCAUAUCUUCAUUAAUCAUUUAAGCAUCGCCUUGGAAACAUGGAGUAAAAACGAAUAGGCGCUCUGUCAUACUUUUAAUAUCCUGGGUAUUGCAGGUUGGCAACAGCAUAUUGGUCGACUGCUUGUUCAGUUUGAUUGUACUUCCCAUUCAUGUUAGUUAUUAUUCUAAAGCCUAUGCUUACAUAAAUAUUAAGCAUAAUAACCAUAAAGAAAAGGCAUCUAAUAGCUUAAUGAAUUUUACAUCUUAUAUUUGACUUUCCUUUUGAGAUAUCUUAGGGAUAUCAUAUCUUCAUUGAUCUUGAUAUUAAAUAAUUGAUUUCAUUCCGGGGCAUUAUAAUUAUUGGUGCCUUUUUUUUUGUAACAGUUUGAAUUUUUUUUAACAGGUUGGUAAUGAGAGACUAACCUUGUGCAACGUAGGAUCAAGUAAAAGCAACUCGUCUAUCGUUUUUGGUUCAGAAUCAGCACCAAUAACAUGCCCCGUAUACAUGUCAGUUAAGCUGGGCAAGAUCCGAAUAGGUGAUUUUAGAUGCUCAAACCUAUUUUUUGCAUGUUUUGGGUGAGAAAGAUUAAACUAAGAAAUAUAAAUGUAAAAGUUCUUAAAGAAGGGUUGUUUAUUUACCUGCGCUUGUAUUCAGAGAGUUGUGGAAUGUCCGGAUUGAAAAUAUAAAUGGUUGAUCCUGUGCUUCCAAGAACAGGCUUUCCUAUAAAUAAAAAGAGAAUAAUGAACAAAUUUAAACUUUAAGCAGUUUAAUAAAGCAUGUCGAGGUAUGACCUUGGUAUUGUUUAGCUUUGAGGCCUGUCAAAGCAACAAACACGGGUGGCAAUAACGAUUGUAUUCCACUGUCCUCAAAAUUUGUCGCAGUCUCUCCCCAUAAGGUGAUUCUCACUGUUUCACCCCUGUAAAUAAUUAAGAAGGUGUCAGUCAGUUAUACGUUACGCCUACGGUGUCAUAUGUGAAAAUUGUAAUCAAAGUUUAACGCAUAUAGAAAUUACCUGAUAUUUUGGAGGUUAAGAUUUCUCUUCUUUGCAAUUCUUGUGCGUUGGAUGGUUACCUCUUCAAUCGGCUGCACAGCCUUCAAGCAACCAAAUAUAUCUAUAGACGAUGUUCAUUAGCGAGAAUGAGUGUGCACCAAAGCCAACAAAAAAAUUUAAAUGAUUCUUAAAAAAAAAAAAAAGGCCUAUUAGCUCAGCUGGUUAGAGCGUCGUGCUAAUAACGCGAAGGUCGCAGGUUCGAGACCUGCAUGGGCCAUUUCUCCCCUUUUCAAAAGAGUGAGAAAAAAGAACAAGACUUGGAAGUGCCCAAGGACUAGAUGGUGGAAUCUAAAAGAAGAAAAACAAGCCAUUUUCAAAGAGAAAAUAAUCACUCAGUGUGUGUGGGAUAGAGAGGGGGAAGCUAACCAAAUGUGGGAUUCCAUGGCUAGUUGUAUCCGAAAAGUAGCAAAAGAGGUAUUAGGAGAGUCCAAGGGCUUUGCCCCACACCAAAAGGAAUCUUGGUGGUGGAAUGAGGAGGUACAAACAAAGGUGAAGGCUAAGAAGGAAUGUUGUAAAGCCUUAUACAAGGAUAGGACCGAUGAAAAUGGUGAAAGGUAUAGAAAAGCGAAGCAAGAGGCGAAGAAAGCUGUGAGAGAAGCUAAGUUAGCGGCUUAUGACGAUAUGUAUAAACGACUAGAUACCAAAGAAGGAGAGUUGGAUAUCUAUAAACUAGCUAGAGCAAGGGAAAAGAAGACAAGAGACCUAAACCAAGUGAGGUGCAUCAAGGAUGAGGAUGGAAAGGUUCUUGCUACAGAGAACGCGGUU